rnacentral:rRNA from 1 species
GACGAACGCUGGCGGCGUGCUUAACACAUGCAAGUCGAACGAUGAAGUUCCUUCGGGAAUGGAUUAGUGGCGAACGGGUGAGGAACACGUGAGAAACCUGCCUUUCAUUUUGGGAUAUCUCCGGGAAACCGGGGCUAAAACCGAAUACUCCGUCUCGGCGGCAUCGCUGAGCCGGGAAAAAAUUUUGAUGAAAGAUGGUCUCGCGGCCUAUCAGCUAGUUGGUGAGGUAAUGGCUCACCAAGGCAACGACGGGUAGCCGGCCUGAGAGGGCGACCGGCCACACUGGGACUGAGACACGGCCCAGACUCCUACGGGAGGCAGCAGUGGGGAAUAUUGGGCAAUGGGCGCAGGCCUGACCCAGCGACGCCGCGUGAGGGAUGAAGGCCUUCGGGUUGUAAACCUCUUUCAGUAGGGAAGAAGCGAAAGUGACGGUACCUAAAGAAGAAGCACCGGCUAACUAUGUGCCAGCAGCCGCCGUAA